rnacentral:tRNA from 2 species
GGGAGUGUAGUGUAAUGGAUCAACACGCUGGUCUUCGGAACCAGAAAUCGGGGUUCAAAUCCCUGCAUUCUCGCUA